rnacentral:misc_RNA from 1 species
GAUGAAGAACGUAGUGAAAUGCGAUAAGUAGUGUGAAUUGCAGAAUUCAGUGAAUCAUCGAAUCUUUGAACGCACAUUGCGCCCCUUGGUAUUCCAUGGGGCAUGCCUGUUCGAGCGUCAUUUGUACCUUCAAGCUUUGCUUGGUGUUGGGUGUUUGUCCCUCGGGACUCGCCUUAAAGUCAUUGGCAGCCAGUGUUUUGGUUUUGAAGCGCAGCACAAGUCGCGAUUCAAGGCUAUCCGCCCGCUUCCACAAGCCUUUUUCACUUUUGACCUCGGAUCAGGUAGGGAUACCCGCUGAACUUAAGCAUAUCAAUAGCGGAGGA